UUCUUUUAUCAGUUCCCCUUUUCUUUUAUAUAUCAAAUUGAAUGUUACGCACCGAUUAUGAAUCGCCACUUUCAUCCAUAUCUUCAACGCCCUUUCAUAAUCCUCUUCAAUUCUCCAUGCAUCAAUUCAAAGAAACCCAUUAAUGACAACCGCCAUCCCAGAUGGAGAAUCAUAUUAAAUGGUUACGCUGACACCGUGUUAUUUGCCGGAAUUGGAAUCUUGGAACGGAGUGGAGACACGGUUGUCAACGUGAGUCGGUUACGACAGUUUGUGACGGUGGAUGUGCCUGAUGCAAGCAGUUGGGUCACGGUUAGAUGACACUAGCAAUUUUUAUGGUGUAUAUUAAGAAAUAGAGUUUUUUUUUUUUUUUUUUUUGGUCUUUGGAAUAUUUGAUAUUUUGAUGGAGAUGUAAAUACAGUUAUACCAAUGGUUUCUUUGAUUGUGAUGGUUUAUGGCAUCAAUCUGAUGACCAUUAAUGUUUCUUUUGAUUUCAGUUAUGAAACUUGAUUUUCAUUGUGAAUUUUAAUAUAAUAGACAUUGAAUUA